GGGGGUGUGGCUCAGUGGUUAAGAGCACUGACUGCUCUUCCGGAGGAUUCGGGUUCAAUUCCCAGCACCCACA
rnacentral:tRNA from 1 species